rnacentral:rRNA from 1 species
UCGAACGCCCCGCAAGGGGAGUGGCAGACGGGUGAGUAACACGUGGGAACAUACCCUUCGGUACGGAACAACUCGGGGAAACGCGAGCUAAUACCGUAUACGCCUUGGCGGGGAAAGAUUUAUCGCCGAAGGAUUGGCCCGCGUCCGAUUAGCUAGUUGGUGAGGUAAUGGCUCACCAAGGCGACGAUCGGUAGCUGGUCUGAGAGGAUGGCCAGCCACAUUGGGACUGAGACACGGCCCAA